AUUCUGCCCAAGCGGGGAAGGAUGAGAAGCUUCGACCAAGGUUCGACUUGAGCGCCAGCGAGAGAGCGUUGCCGCAGGCAACGACCCGAAGGGCGAAGCGCGCAUGCAGUCGUCUUCAUUCAUUACCA
rnacentral:sRNA from 1 species